rnacentral:rRNA from 1 species
GAUGAACGCUGGCGGCGUGCCUAAUACAUGCAAGUCGAGCGAACAGAUAAGGAGCUUGCUCCUUUGACGUUAGCGGCGGACGGGUGAGUAACACGUGGAUAACCUACCUAUAAGACUGGGAUAACUUCGGGAAACCGGAGCUAAUACCGGAUAACAUAUUGAACCGCAUGGUUCAAUAGUGAAAGGCGGCUUUGCUGUCACUUAUAGAUGGAUCCGCGCCGUAUUAGCUAGUUGGUAAGGUAACGGCUUACCAAGGCAACGAUACGUAGCCGACCUGAGAGGGUGAUCGGCCACACUGGAACUGAGACACGGUCCAGACUCCUACGGGAGGCAGCAGUAGGGAAUCUUCCGCAAUGGGCGAAAGCCUGACGGAGCAACGCCGCGUGAGUGAUGAAGGUCUUCGGAUCGUAAAACUCUGUUAUCAGGGAAGAACAAAUGUGUAAGUAACUGUGCACAUCUUGACGGUACCUGAUCAGAAAGCCACGGCUAACUACGUGCCAGCCGCCGCGGUAAAAC